GACGAACGCUGGCGGCGUGCUUAACACAUGCAAGUCGAACGGAAAGGCCCUGCUUUUGUGGGGUGCUCGAGUGGCGAACGGGUGAGUAACACGUGAGUAACCUGCCCUUGACUUUGGGAUAACUUCAGGAAACUGGGGCUAAUACCGGAUAGGAGCUCCUGCUGCAUGGUGGGGGUUGGAAAGUUUCGGCGGUUGGGGAUGGACUCGCGGCUUAUCAGCUUGUUGGUGGGGUAGUGGCUUACCAAGGCUUUGACGGGUAGCCGGCCUGAGAGGGUGACCGGGCACAUUGGGACUGAGAGACGGCCCAGACUCCUACGGGAGGCAGCAGGGGGGAAUAUGGCACAAUGGGCGGAAGCCUGAUGCAGAAACGCCGCGUGCGGGAUGACGGCCUUCGGGUUGUAAACCGCUUUCGCCUGUGACGAAGCGUGAGUGACGGUAAUGGGUAAAGAAGCACCGGCUAACUACGUG
rnacentral:rRNA from 1 species